GAAGAAGAGAUCAGGUGUGUUCAGAUCGGACACAGGGGCUGCCUGUCACAGGAAUGGUGGACUGCCUCUAGGAAUGACUCAACUCUGGAGCACAGAAGAGGUGAUGUCCAGCAAUUCGGUCAUAAGUGUCUGGGGUCCCACCUGAAGUUUCUUCAUUAAACAGGUGCAAAGCAGAAAGUUAAACAAUAUGGAAAAGAAAAUAACGAAGAAAGGACUUUCACAGAGAAAAACAUUGCCAG